rnacentral:rRNA from 1 species
GACGAACGCUGGCGGCGUGCUUAACACAUGCAAGUCGAACGGUAAGGCCCUUCGGGGUACACGAGUGGCGAACGGGUGAGUAACGCGUGAGUAACCUGCCCUUCACUCUGGGAUAACAGUUGGAAACGGCUGCUAAUACCGGAUAUUCAGCUCCUGUCUCAUGGUGGGGGUUGGAAAGUUUUGGUGGUGGAGGAUGGGCUCGCGUCCUAUCAGCUUGUUGGUGGGGUGAUGGCCUACCAAGGCGUCGACGGGUAGCCGGCCUGAGAGGGCGACCGGCCACAUUGGGACUGAGAUACGGACCAAACUCCUACGGGAGGCAGCAGUGGGGAAUAUUGCACAAUGGGCGGAAGCCUGAUGCAGCAACGCCGCGUGCGGGAUGACGGCCUUCGGGUUGUAAACCGCUUUCAGCAGGGACGAAGCGCAAGUGACGGUACCUGCAGAAGAAGCACCGGCUAACUACGUG